GACGAACGCUGGCGGCGCGCUUAACACAUGCAAGUCGAGCGAGAACCAGUCCUUCGGGACUGGGGACAGCGGCGAACGGGUGAGUAACACGUGGGUAAUCUGCCCUCGGCACCGGAAUAGCCCGGGGAAACCCGGAUUAAUGCCGGAUGGCCUCUCCGCCCCUCGGGGCGGUGAGAAAAGGUAGCUUCGGCCUCCGGCCGAGGAUGAGCCCGCGGCCGAUUAGCUUGUUGGUGAGGUAACGGCUCACCAAGGCGACGAUCGGUAGCUGGUCUGAGAGGACGAUCAGCCACACUGGGACUGAGACACGGCCCAGACUCCUACGGGAGGCAGCAGUGGGGAAUCUUGCGCAAUGGGCGAAAGCCUGACGCAGCGACGCCGCGUGCGGGAAGAAGGCCUUCGGGUUGUAAACCGCUUUCAGGAGGGACGAAGCCACUCGGGUUAAUAGCCUAGAGGGUGACGGUACCUCCAGAAGAAGCCCCGGCUAACUACGUGCCAGCCGCCGCCGUAACAC
rnacentral:rRNA from 1 species